rnacentral:rRNA from 1 species
GAUCCAGACUUUGAUUAUGGCUCAGGAUGAACGCUAGCUACAGGCUUAACACAUGCAAGUCGAGGGGCAGCGGUAUCGAAAGCUUGCUUUCGGUAGCCGGCGACCGGCGCACGGGUGAGUAACGCGUAUCGAACCUGCCUCAUACUCGGGAAUAGCCUUGCGAAAGUAAGAUUAAUGCCCGGUGUUUUCAGAGUCCCGCAUGAGGCUUUGAACAAAGAUUUAUCGGUAUGAGAUGGCGAUGCGUCCCAUUAGCUUGUUGGCGGGGUAACGGCCCACCAAGGCAUCGAUGGGUAGGGGUUCUGAGAGGAAGGUCCCCCACAUUGGAACUGAGACACGGUCCAAACUCCUACGGGAGGCAGCAGUGAGGAAUAUUGGUCAAUGGGCGGAAGCCUGAACCAGCCAAGUAGCGUGCAGGAAGACGGCCCUCCGGGUUGUAAACUGCUUUUAGUUGGGAAUAAAACGGGGCUCGUGAGCCCCCUUGCAUGUACCAUCAGAAAAAGGACCGGCUAAUUCCGUGCCAGCAGCCGCGGUAAUACGGAAGGUUCGGGCGUUAUCCGGAUUUAUUGGGUUUAAAGGGAGCGCUGGCGGACCUUUAAGUCAGCUGUGAAAUACGGCGGCUCAACCGUCGAGCUGCAGUUGAUACUGGAGGUCUUGAGUGCACACAGGGAUGCUGGAAUUCAUGGUGUAGCGGUGAAAUGCUCAGAUAUCAUGAAGAACUCCGAUCGCGAAGGCAGGCAUCCGGGGUGCAACUGACGCUGAGGCUCGAAAGUGCGGGUAUCAAACAGGAUUAGAUACCCUGGUAGUCCGCACAGUAAACGAUGAAUACUCGCGGUUUGCGAUACAGUGUAAGCCGCCAAGCGAAAGCGUUAAGUAUUCCACCUGGGGAGUACGCCGGCAACGGUGCAACUCAAAGGAAUUGACGG